GGAAUAUUGGGCAAUGGGCGAAAGCCUGACCCAGCGACGCCGCGUGAGGGAAGAAGGUCUUCGGAUUGUAAACCUUUGUCAGCAGGGAAGAAGCAAGUGACGGUACCUGCUAAGAAAGCCACGGCUAACUACGUGCCAGCAGCCGCGGUAAUACGUAGGUGGCGAGCGUUAUCCGGAUUUACUGGGUGUAAAGGGUGUGUAGGCGGACCGGCAAGUCAGGUGUGAAAACUAUCGGCUCAACCGAUAGACUGCACUUGAAACUGCUGGCCUUGAGAGUCGGAGAGGUAAGCGGAAUUCCCAGUGUAGCGGUGAAAUGCGUAGAUAUUGGGAGGAACACCAGUGGCGAAGGCGGCUUACUGGACGACCACUGACGCUGAGACACGAAAGCGUGGGGAGCAAACA
rnacentral:rRNA from 1 species